rnacentral:rRNA from 1 species
ACGGGAGGCAGCAGUGGGGAAUAUUGGACAAUGGGGGAAACCCUGAUGCAGCGACGCCGCGUGAGUGAUGAAGUAUUUCGGUACGUAAAGCUCUAUCAGCAGGAAAGAUAAUGACGGUACCUGACUAAGAAGCCCCGGCUAACUACGUGCCAGCAGCCGCGGUAAUACGUAGGGGGCAAGCGUUAUCCGGAUUUACUGGGUGUAAAGGGAGUGUAGGUGGCGUGGCAAGUCAGAUGUGAAAGCCCGCGGCUCAACCGCGGGACUGCAUUUGAAACUGUCAUGCUAGAGUGCAGGAGAGGAAAGUGGAAUUCCUAGUGUAGCGGUGAAAUGCGUAGAUAUUAGGAGGAACACCAGUGGCGAAGGCGGCUUUCCGGACUGUUACUGACACUGAGGCUCGAAAGCGUGGGGAGCAAACAGGAUUAGAUACCCUGGUA